rnacentral:misc_RNA from 1 species
GGCCAACGUUGGAAGAUGUUGAGAUUGAUUUAGAUGGAAAUGGAUCUUAUUCUGGAGAUGAGGAUGAAAGUGUUGAGAACUUUGAUUGGAAAUCUUGUGAAGAUCUCUAGGUUAUGACUAUGAAUUUGAAGGCUAAAAACUUCUGGAUGUUUGAUGAUUUCUUUAGGGUUUAAAUUUUAUAUAGAAGAACUAUUUUCGUUUCAUAUUAUAUAUUAGUUAAUUUUUUAAUAAUUU